CACCAACCACAAAAAAAAAUAAUAAAAAAAAAAAAAUCACCCUGCUAAAUAGAUCAGAGGAGGAAGAAACUAUCCCAAAACCCCCCAAAUCAUCAUUUCUAUGCGCAGUGGUGGUGAGCAUUUGUGCGCGGUGCUCCACCGACGAGAGUGCUUGCAUAUGAUCUGUUGGGGUGGGAGCGUGAUAAUCCUUGUAACAGAUUGAGAUUCAGUGAAGAGAUUGUGGUGGUGUGAUUGGCGAUGUGAAGGAGGCUAUUGCAUGCGAAUGAUUGGGUUGCCAACGAAGAUGGAGUGGAUAGGAUGAUGGACGAAGGCGGGUCGAAGGCAGUGAAAAGUGUGUAUGAAGCGAUGAUAGAGCUAGUGGGAUUUAGAGAGAAUAGAGAGGAUAGAAAGAGAGAAGAGAGGCGAUGCAUAGAAAAUUUAAUAAUAUUAUUGUUAAUAUUGAAAAUGCGAAAUACGACCUAGUUUUUGAAUGAUCAAGUUCUAAACUCUUAUCGAAAGUUGAUAAGCA
rnacentral:lncRNA from 1 species